rnacentral:rRNA from 1 species
UUGGAUCUAAUCGUGUGUCCCUGGUUAACACGCCUUGGCGGCCAGGUCCCUGAGAAAAAGAUUUCGGUUCCGGGGGAAGUAUGGAUUGACCUGAAACUGACCAAAUUGACGGAUAGGCACCACCAGGAGUGGAGCCUGCGGCUUACUUUGACUCUACACGGGCAAACUCGCCUGUCCUGCACCUGGUGAAGCUCGACCUAUUGACAGCUCUUUCUUGCACGGUGGUUGGUGGUGCAUGGCCGGUCUUUCUUUCAGUAGUGAUAUGGAUGGUUUAUUAAUAUAAUGACUCAAACUAUAAUCUCCUAACCUUGAACUGGAUAAUUGAGUCCAGACCGACUUCUUAAAAGGUCAAGCGGUGUUCAGCCGCACGACGUCGACAAAUAACAGGACUGUGAUGCCCUUAGAUGUCCAGGGCUGCUCGCGCGCCACACUGGCCGAAUCAUAGUGCUGUAACCAUUGUCGAAAGGUUUUGGCAACCUCUUGAAAAUCCUCCGUGAUCGCCAUCGGGAAUUGUAUUAUUUUCCCUUGUAUGAGGAAUUCCUAGUAAGUGUGACCAUCUGCUCCGAGGAUACGUCACUGUAUUUUGUACCCUUCGCUCCGUCGAUGCUCGGCACUGAGCCGUUUCGAGACAAGCGGGGACUGCUGUUUCGAUACCUUGCGGCGCGGAAACUCUUUGCCGCAACCUGCUUUAUCUCAGUGCCUUGCUCAGGCAAAGACUUACAGAGUUUCAUACGUAACCAGCGUUACGAUCAGUGACGAUCUCGGCGUAAAUCAAAUCCCCUACGCGAAUCGAAUACCCUUCAUGGCUGCCGUAUUCCAACGG